GUGGCAGAAAUGCACGGGGAGCAGAGAAAGAGAGGGCACACUGUCUCCCAUUUAUUUUUAGUAUUUUAUUUAGGGAUGGGUUCACUACCAUGCUGUUCUUAGGCUCUCCUGAGGUAGCAGAGGUGCAGAGAUGGCAGCGAUCCUGAGGCAAGAGUACUGAAAUUUGUUCUUUAAUUUACUUGAUUAUCCAAGUUGGGCAUUUGAAGAAACACAUCCAUGUUUCCCCAUCGCUUAGUGCCACGGGGUAAAAAGAAAUCUAAAAUGCAAGGAGGGGAGAAGAAGAAAAUGCCCCACAUACCUCAGACAAAUCCAAGUCAACUCCUCACACCACCCAACCACCCAUCCCAGAAGAAUGAAACCACACAACACACCAGGACAGCACAGAGCCAACUUUGCUUUCACAGAGAGAUGUUUUCUCAACCAAAAAAGCAACCCUUAGAAUAUUGCUGGAAAAAUCUAUGUUAGAGGAGAAGCAAGUGCAGGUGAGAUGAACUUUCCAUAGAGGAUAUACUUGAGCAUAUUUGUAACAUGGAUUUCCUUCCUUCCUUUUCCUUCCUUCCUUCCUUCCUUCCUUCCUUCCUUCCUUCUCCUUCCUUCCCCCCCCCCCUCCUUCCUUCCUUCCAUCUUUCUUACUCCCUCUUCCUUCCUUUUCUCUCUGCCUUUGAUGUGAAAACAAGUAUGACC
rnacentral:lncRNA from 1 species